GAGUAAUACAUAGGAACGUACCUACUGGGUGGGGGAUAACUACGGGAAACUGUGGCUAAUACCGCAUAAUAUCGAGAGAUUAAAGGAGGCCUCUUCUUGAAAGCUUUCGCCUGUAGAUCGGCCUAUGUCCCAUUAGCUUGUUGGUGAGGUAAAGGCUCACCAAGGCGACGAUGGGUAGCUGGUCUGAGAGGAUGAUCAGCCACACUGGAACUGAGACACGGUCCAGACUCC
rnacentral:rRNA from 1 species